rnacentral:rRNA from 1 species
AACUUUCAACAAUGGAUCUCUUGGUUCCGGCAUCGAUGAAGAACGCAGCGAACUGCGAUAAGUAAUGUGAAUUGCAGAAUUCAGUGAAUCAUCGAGUCUUUGAACGCACAUUGCGCCCCCUGGCAUUCCGGGGGGCAUGCCUGUCCG